rnacentral:rRNA from 1 species
AGUGAACGCUGGCGGUAGGCCUAACACAUGCAAGUCGAACGGCAGCACAGUAAGAGCUUGCUCUUACGGGUGGCGAGUGGCGGACGGGUGAGGCAUACAUCGGAAUCUACUUUUUCGUGGGUGAUAACGUAGGGCAACUUACGCUAAUACCUCAUACUACCUACGGGUGAAAGCAGGGGAUCUUCGGACCUUUCGCGAUUGAAUGAGCCGAUGUCGGAUUAGCUAGUUGGCGGGGUAAAGGCCCACCAAGGCGACGAUCCGUAGCUGGUCUGAGAGGAUGAUCAGCCACACUGGAACUGAGACACGGUCCAGACUCCUACGGGAGGCAGCAGUGGGGAAUAUUGGACAAUGGGCGCAAGCCUGAUCCAGCCAUACCGCGUGGGUGAAGAAGGCCUUCGGGUUGUAAAGCCCUUUUGUUGGGAAAGAAAAGCAGCAGGUUAAUACCCCGCUGUUCUGACGGUACCCAAAGAAUAAGCACCGGCUAACUUCGUG